GUGGUGUAGUGUGUGGAUUUCCAACAGGGCACGCAUGCGAAGAGCGGUCAUAAGAUAGACAUAGAAAAGCUUAAAAGCUUAUCACCGAAUAUCAUUGAUCUGCGGUCACCUUGGAUAAGUGAACGAAACAUCACGCGAUUCUUAUCUAUGUUUUUGCAUAUCGAGAUAAGAGUGCCGUUAUGUAAAAGCUUUUUCUCUAGCAUAGUUAGGGCUAGAUUUGCAUAGGAGAGCUUUGACAUUUUUUGACGAGCUUGAAAGCAAUACGGCUGCAAUUGUAAGCCAAGUUUAAUAAAUAUUUAAAUUGUGCUGAAAAUUAAAUAAAAUCAAAUCCCAGACGAAUUAUCGGGAUUCAUUUAAUAAGUGUUUAGUUAUUUUAUGCCAGUGCCACGUGCCAGUGCGGCUAGUACCAAAUUAUGUAAGAGGCUAGCACCAGUUUUUUUAAUCGGCUAGUACAGGAUUAUGUAAUCGUCUAGCACCCUAUUAUGCAACCGGCUAUCUGGAGGCCGAAAUGGAUGAAAUAUGGGAAUUAACUAGUGCAGAGAUUCGACGCGGGAUCGCAAUCUUUUGAUAAAUAUUUUUUUGGAUUCGACGACAAGCCCUUUUCGCUACACGGAGAGAAAACUCCAGCGAAUUAUUGAUAAAUUUCUAUUCCUGUCCUUGAGCUCAACGGCGGCGAACAUCGG
rnacentral:sRNA from 1 species